UACGGAGGGUGCAAGCGUUAAUCGGAAUUACUGGGCGUAAAGCGCACGCAGGCGGUCAAUUAAGACAGCUGUGAAAGCCCCGAGCUUAACUUGGGAAGUGCAUCUGAUACUGGUCAGCUAGAGUCUUGUAGAGGGAGGUAGAAUUCCAUGUGUAGCGGUGAAAUGCGUAGAGAUGUGGAGGAAUACCGGUGGCGAAGGCGGCCCCCUGGACAAAGACUGACGCUCAGGUGCGAAAGCUUGGGGAGCAAACAGG
rnacentral:rRNA from 1 species